GCUUGUCUCAAAGAUUAAGCCAUGCAUGUCUAAGUAUAAGCCUUUAUAUGGUGAGACUGCGAAUGGCUCAUUAAAUCAGAAACUGUUUAUUUGAUAGUGCCUACUACAUGGAUACCUGUAGUAAUUCUAGAGCUAAUACAUGCGUCAAGUCCGGACCGCGCGAGCGGGAAGGAUGUGUUUAUUAGAUACAACCAACCCUUCGGGUUCCUGGUGAGUCAUAAUAACCGAACGAACCGCAGGCUUCGGCGGCGGUGGUUCAUUCAAGUUUCUGCCCUAUCAGCUUUCGAUGGUAGGGUAUUGGCCUACCAUGGCGUUAACGGGUAACGGAGAAUUAGGGUUCGAUUCCGGAGAGGGAGCCUGAGAGAUGGCUACCACAUCCAAGGAAGGCAGCAGG
rnacentral:rRNA from 1 species